rnacentral:tRNA from 1 species
GGUGAGGUCCCUGGUUCAAGUCCAGGAUGGCCCAUCGGGAUUGGGGGUUUAGCUCAGCUGGUAGAGCGCCUGCUUUGCAAGCAGGAUGUCAGCGGUUCGAGUCCGCUAACCUCCAUUAGUCUUGAUAAUGGAACUGUGGCGCAGGGUGACUUAGAAGGAUCUUGGUGAUUCCAGCCUCGUUUGAUUCUUGUUUCAAGUUCAAACGAUGCUGGGCUCAGCAAUGGGUUCAGCAAGAACCUUGACAACUGCAUAGGUAAGUCUGGAAAUAAAGCAUCUCACAGAGAUGAUCCAGGCAUGAAGUGAUUCACGUUACGGCGUAAUUUGCUUGAUGUUUGGUUCAACAAUUCUGGAGAAAAGCCGAGUCCUGAAUCAAUUUGAUCAGGAACAAAAUGGUCAAGCUACAGAGGGCUCACGGCGGAUACCUUGGCACACAGAGGCGAUGAA